UACGAAGGGGGCUAGCGUUGUUCGGAAUUACUGGGCGUAAAGGGCGCGUAGGCGGUGUGUCAAGUCAGGCGUGAAAGCCCCGGGCUCAACCUGGGAACCGCGCUUGAGACUGGCACGCUAGAGUUCGGGAGAGGAUGGUGGAAUUCCGAGUGUAGAGGUGAAAUUCGUAGAUAUUCGGAAGAACACCAGUGGCGAAGGCGGCUCACUGGACCGGCAUUGACGCUGAGGUGCGAAAGCGUGGGGAGCAAACAGG
rnacentral:rRNA from 1 species